GAUCUCUGGAGAAUCUCAUUCAGUUGAGUGCCGAAGGUGUAAGGUUUUGGGCCGACCAAAGCCGAAUCUCUCAGGCAAACGGACAGAGCA
rnacentral:ncRNA from 1 species